rnacentral:rRNA from 1 species
AUUGAACGCUGGCGGCAGGCCUAACACAUGCAAGUCGAACGGUAACAGGAAGCAGCUUGCUGCUUUGCUGACGAGUGGCGGACGGGUGAGCAAUGUCUGGGAAACUGCCUGAUGGAGGGGGAUAACUACUGGAAACGGUAGCUAAUACCGCAUAAUGUCGCAAGACCAAAGAGGGGGACCUUCGGGCCUCUUGCCAUCGGAUGUGCCCAGAUGGGAUUAGCUAGUAGGUGGGGUAAAGGCUCACCUAGGCGACGAUCCCUAGCUGGUCUGAGAGGAUGACCAGCCACACUGGAACUGAGACACGGUCCAGACUCCUACGGGAGGCAGCAGUGGGGAAUAUUGCACAAUGGGCGCAAGCCUGAUGCAGCCAUGCCGCGUGUAUGAAGAAGGCCUUCGGGUUGUAAAGUACUUUCAGCGGGGAGGAAGGGAGUAAAGUUAAUACCUUUGCUCAUUGACGUUACCCGCAGAAGAAGCACCGGCUAACUCCGUG